GCGCGCGUAGCUCAGCUGGAUAGAGUACUUGGCUACGAACCAGGCGGUCGGAGGUUCGAAUCCUUCCGCGCGCACCA
rnacentral:tRNA from 1 species